UCUAUGGUUUUUGGUAAACAGUUGCAUCAUGCAAGCAUGUGUCAAAGAAAGACUCCACAAAGCUUCUCAAAUAUCAGCAAGAAGUGUAAAACAAGCUGAAGCUUAGUUUAUGUAAUUUCUUCUUCUAGUGUAGGCUAAAAUCAAACCUUCCUCAUUUGGCAGAAUGAGUGAAUUAGUUUCAUUUAUCAGUUUGACCAAAUAUAGAGAGUCUAUGGGCUACAAAGACAAUAAUGUUGAGAAACAAAUGAGAAACAAAGGUAUACCAGCUAAAACCAGAAUGAAAAUAAAACUUUUAACCAACUCCUGUAAACUGUAAAUCACAUAUAGAAAGACAAGAAUCCUAAGCAUAGGAGCUACAGCUCCUUAUUAACUAUAAUUUAAACAUACAUGAUAUAGAUAAAAUAAGUACAGUUUAUAAUAAACAAUGCUUUAAAAAUAAGAAUCCUGAACGACAACAGGAUUAUUUACAUUACAGCCACAUUAUGAUUACCUCACCAGCAUUAAA
rnacentral:misc_RNA from 1 species